UACGGAAGGUGCAAGCGUUAAUCGGAAUCACUGGGCGUAAAGCGCACGUAGGCGGCUUCGUAAGUCGGAUGUGAAAGCCCUCGGCUCAACCGGGGAACUGCAUUCGAAACUGCGGGGCUGGAGUCCUGGAGAGGGUGGCGGAAUUCCCGGUGUAGGAGUGAAAUCCGUAGAUAUCGGGAGGAACACCAGUGGCGAAGGCGGCCACCUGGACAGGUACUGACGCUGAGGUGCGAAAGUGUGGGGAGCAAACAGGAUUAGAUACCCUGGUAGUCCACACCGUAAACGAUGGAUGCUAGGUGUCGGGGAGUACUCUUCGGCGCCGUAGUUAACGCGUUAAGCAUCCCGCCUGGGGAGUACGGUCGCAAGGCUGAA
rnacentral:rRNA from 1 species